rnacentral:rRNA from 1 species
AGAGUUUGAUCAUGGCUCAGAUUGAACGCUGGCGGCAUGCUUUACACAUGCAAGUCGAACGGCAGCGCGGGGCAACCUGGCGGCGAGUGGCGAACGGGUGAGUAAUAUAUCGGAACGUACCCAAGAGUGGGGGAUAACGUAGCGAAAGUUACGCUAAUACCGCAUACGAUCUAAGGAUGAAAGUGGGGGAUCUUCGGACCUCAUGCUCCUGGAGCGGCCGAUAUCUGAUUAGCUAGUUGGUGAGGUAAAGGCUCACCAAGGCGACGAUCAGUAGCUGGUCUGAGAGGACGACCAGCCACACUGGAACUGAGACACGGUCCAGACUCCUACGGGAGGCAGCAGUGGGGAAUUUUGGACAAUGGGCGCAAGCCUGAUCCAGCAAUGCCGCGUGAGUGAAGAAGGCCUUCGGGUUGUAAAGCUCUUUUGUCAGGGAAGAAACGGUAGAGGCUAAUAUCCUUUGCUAAUGACGGUACCUGAAGAAUAAGCACCGGCUAACUACGUGCCAGCAGCCGCGGUAAUACGUAGGGUGCAAGCGUUAAUCGGAAUUACUGGGCGUAAAUCGUGCGCAGGCGGUUUUGUAAGUCUGACGUGAAAUCCCCGGGCUCAACCUGGGAAUUGCGUUGGAGACUGCAAGGCUAGAAUCUGGCAGAGGGGGGUAGAAUUCCACGUGUAGCAGUGAAAUGCGUAGAGAUGUGGAGGAACACCGAUGGCGAAGGCAGCCCCCUGGGUCAAGAUUGACGCUCAUGCACGAAAGCGUGGGGAGCAAACAGGAUUAGAUACCCCGGUAGUCC